rnacentral:rRNA from 1 species
UACAGAGGGUGCAAGCGUUAAUCGGAAUUACUGGGCGUAAAGCGCACGCAGGCGGUUGGUUAAGUCAGAUCUGAAAGCCCCGGGCUCAACCUGGGAAUUGCAUUUGAAACUGGCCAACUAGAGUACGUGAGAGGGGGGUAGAAUUCCAAGUGUAGCGGUGAAAUGCGUAGAGAUUUGGAGGAAUACCAGUGGCGAAGGCGGCCCCCUGGCACGAUACUGACGCUCAGGUGCGAAAGCGUGGGGAGCAAACAGG